GCUAAUCAUUCCAUUCCAAUUGUAAAUUCAGUAUAUAUUCAUCUGCUUAAGAGAAGAAUACACAUCAUAUUUUUACAAACAUCAAUUCUCUUCUCCUUUUUCACUCUCUUUUCAUCUUUUUACAGGAUCAAUCAUGCUCCUGUAUUUUAAAUUUUUUUAAGCCUAAAUUUUAUCGGCAUUAAUUUGAAGUUGUUAAUAUAUUAAUAAAGUAACUAGAGUUGUCA
rnacentral:misc_RNA from 1 species